AACCUUUGCUGUCUUGGAACAGAUCACCACUGCAAGAGGGGAAGUUGCUACUGUGAUGAAUUCUGCCAUGUGGUACCAGACUGCUACCCAGACCACAGUGUCCUCUGCAACCCUCGUAACUCACAUACAGGCCUGAUUCCACCUACAGCAAAGCUGGAUGCUAUGGUUGGCAGAGGCAAACCCUUUGCCUGCACUUCAGGCCAAAGCCGGGAUGUGGCCUAGAUGGUUCCUAAGGUCCCUGACAAUCCUGAGAUCUUGCAUCUUGUCUAUUUCAGGUCAAAGGUGCCUACAUGUUCCUUCUAGCUUUGUUUCCCUGAUGUUCCUUGCCACCUGCUACUCCUCUCUGAGCUACUUUUCCAGGUUCCACAGGGAGAGGUUCAGCUGUCCGUGGUAGACAUGAGGGUAGAGAAUGAGGUGGUUGGGUUCCACUUACCUUUCUAUCAUCUUGCAGUAUGGAUGUCUCUUGACUGGUACCAUGUAGACUUUUGAGGGCACACAGGAGUCUGCAGAGAGAUACUGGGGACAUUGAGUAGCAGCGGUGGGGUUGGGAGGCAGAAAUGAGGACAGGAACAUUUACCUUGUGUUUCUCUCAGCUUCUCAGAUGACCAAGAUGGUGCUGCAGAUGGUGCUGAGGAUGGAGAACCCACCAAGCCCCGCUAGGAGCCACCUAGACUGGAUGUAGAGCAUGUGAUGAGAGGAGAGGCGGCAGACCUU
rnacentral:lncRNA from 1 species